UAUUUCAACUUUAAAGUUAAAUAACCCAUUAUCAAAUUUUCAAAUAAAAUUUCCUUGGAAAAGCGAUAGUGGGAUUGUUUGAAGAAUGAGAUUAUCGUCGGUACAUCAGUUUGGACACACCCAAGAUACGUAUGCACAAAGAAAAAAAAAUUGCGUAACUAAUCAAAGAAAAUCGUGAGAUAAAUGAUAAAAGAAGCGUCGUCUUGGUUAUUGCGACUUUCAAACAUUCAAAAUAGUGACGUAAUUGUCCGUACGACAGAACACAAAUCUGACGAGCACUCUAACGAACGGGUAAUUUGAAUAUCAUUUCUUUUUUCUUCGUAUUGUUAUCUCUGUCGAGAACCGAUGUUCGUACAAUCACGAGUGUCGUUAUGUUCGCGCAAUUUUUAUCAUCGAGUAUGAAAAAGCAGAAACAAGAACAACAUUGUUAGCGUCAAAAUAAUUGAUUGGAAAUAUUUUUAUUUAUUUUUAAAAUAUCGAACAAUAUUUUUUUUUAUUAGCGUCACUUCAUACAAACAUGAACAGCUACUUAAGUAGAUUAACAAUUACUUAACUAAGUUGAUAAUUUAACAACGUAAAACAUAUUUUGUGUUAAUGGAAGCAUUAUCUAAUUGCUUUGACAUUUGAACAUUUAAUAAUAUCAAAUCAAAUAUUUAAAAUAAAAUAAAAAAUAAAAUAAAAUUCCAUUGUAGAUUCUGAUAAAAAAUAUAGGUCGUUCAAAAGACUUCGGGAUAAAAGCAUAAGAAAUGAGCAAAAUUUAUGUCCAUGUUAUGUAAUAAAAACGAUCCGCGUGAGAGACCAUCAUUCAUGAACGGAUCGAUGAAUAUUCAGAGAGCGAUUCUAUAAACGAUAAUGAACUGACAUUGAUGCUCAAUUAAUUUGCAAGUAGAUGCGGAAUAUUCUAUUCGCCUUGUCGAAACAACCGUCGGGACAAUAAUUGUCAACAGAAAAGCCGACGUUUAAAACAGUAUACACUAUAUAAUGUAUAAUGUAUGUAACAAUAUCUCUUGACGUUGCGUUUCGUCCCGAUAAUACCACCAUUUAUUUCCACGCGAAUUAUAAUUAACUGUAACAGAACGAACCCACGUUUUACGAACAUUGACGUUUUACGAAGGAAAUAAAUCAUGCACUCACGAAAAUUAAUUCGUGAAAACGAGUUUACGCGGUAUGAGAAAUGAAUGAGAUCGCUUUCUCAAGGAUCUCCAUAAAACUAACGACCAUCUUUCACUCGCAACCUUGUAUAAUCUGACCUUUUCGUGAUAGAUUCGUAAGCGGGAAUACAUGAGCGUCAUAAAUGAAUUUAUUCUUACAAUCUGAUCGCAAAUUCUUCGAAAACAGAACAUGGAAAACGACGUGACCCAGAUUUCCUCAAAGAGAUCAGUAAAGUUUUAAUCCCUGAAAAUAUCAAAGGGGAAAAAACGGGAAUAUUCGUGGAAUUAAAGUUACGAGAGAUAAAAUUUCUAGAUUUAUUUCGAAGAAAAUAUAUACAAACAAUUCGAUAUAAAAAAAUUUGUCUCUAUAAAGUUUCCAUCACGUCAAAUCUUUUUGCUUUAGCUGAUAUAAUGAUUUACUUCUGCCAAUUAUUUUCAUCCUCAUUAAUUUAUGAAAAGUUUUUUACACGACUUUCAUUCCGUAGAUAAUGAAUAUCUCGCGAUAAGAGCAAGAUGGUUCUCUUCAGUAUUUCGAUGCUGCACUGAAGUUUGGGCAUCAUUGCAAGUUACCUAGCCGAACAACAAGAUUAUCUAUUGCACGCUCGAUAAUUUUAGCCAUCCUUUACGUAGGUGUCCGGUUUACAUCCACUGCAAUCUGUUGUGCGUCUGUUAUACGAUGACAGCUACAUAAAUAAUACUAACGAAUAGGUGAUACUAAAUUAUAUAAUCAAGCAAGCGAAACGGGCAACACGUAAAAAUGUAAUUCGAAUUACCGAAAAAUAUUUUCCAUUAAUCGGAUGCGGUUCCGUAAUUAUUUUCUUCAUUCGCAAGAAUUCGCUUGAAACGCGGAGUGAAUAAUUAUGUCAAUGCUGGUAAAUCGAAUACGUGAAAUGAAUCUAUACGAGCAAAUGUAACUGAAAAUAUUUCAAUUGAAUAGUUCGCUGAACUAGAUAGUCGUAGCGUGCGGUUGACUUUUACGAUAAUCUAUCUGGUAGGAUAUUUUCUUUUCGAUACAUUUUAUUGAUUUUUUGAUAAGAUUAUAAUUUCCCCCUCGAAAUCGAAAGAGGACUAACGAUACCGAGAAUAGAACGCGAGGUUUUUAUGCGAUGAUGCAUUCAGUCAUUUCUGGAUUAUUUCCUUUAGGAUCCUCCAAAAAUGUUGAGACGCAAUUUUACGAUGACGCACACGGUGGCUUCAACGCUAGCUCCGUUCUCGCCAUCACGUAUCGACUUUCGGAGGAGGACGGAGGAGGAACUAGUCGGGAGACGCAAGUCUCUUACGCAACGAUCCUUUGUCCUCCGACGCGCAAAACGACGAGUUUUGCGGGCGUUUGGCGAAAUUCAAUGUACAAACGACGAUAACUAUGAAAGGAGGGCGGAGUAAUGGCGUAGGGGAGACCUUGGGAGCUGUAAGAAACGACCAUUGUGACCGGCCACGGCAAGCAAGCCGGGCGGAAAGAGCGAUCGUAAAGAGAAAGAAGACGAGGAGGAAAUAGCUUGACUGUCCCUCGUGACAUCUCUGCAAAAAUAUAUCGAGAAACGAAAGCUUCCUCUAAAUGUUACAUCAUCCGUUAAUUAAGAUAAUUGCACUAAGGAAAAUUACGCGAUUCUUCUACGGAGUCUUGGCGAAAAAAGACAAGUAAGUUGCCCGGGCGUAGGUGCUUACGCGAGUUUUUAAGACGGUUUUUCGUAGCUCUCGCGUAAUUUUAAAUUGAUAAUGCCAUUGAUAAUGCCUAAGUGGAACGAGAUAAGUAAGGUGAUUCACGAUUAUCGCACUCCUGUCCUUUUUCUUCCUCUUUUAAACACACUCGAAUACGUGGUCUUUUUUUCUUGUUUUUUUCCCUCCUUCUUUUUUUUGUUCUCUUUUUUUGCAUUACACUCGCUCGACGAAAUUUUAUCUUUGAUCGCAUUUCGUAAUAUUGAACCGUCGAUAUCGCGGACUUUUAAAAGUCAAAAAGAUAAAAAUGGCAGGAUAAACCAUCCUGCGUGCGACGCGACGGGACACGACGCGACGCGAUUGAUUGCGAUAACGAGUAAUGCACUGAUUGGAUGACAUUAUCGAUUAACACGUAAGCGCGGAUCACGCACGCAAUCAAUAACAAUUGUUCGGAACAAGUGCAAAAUACACUUCACCGUACAAUAGAGCCACGCUUCAGUAUCGUAUUUUUUUGUUCAACUCAAGUGCGCUACUAUAGUAACCCGUCGUUUUUUCCAACAUCGUGAUUGCUCUAUCGUAAUUAUCAAGCGUUUGGUCAAGCGCAUUACUGAUACACGAAUCGAUAUUCGUGGCUGGAGAACAAUGCAGGCCGGCAGAUGCACACGAGGAUACGCGUGACACAUUAAAUUAACGACGUUUAUAUGACUCCCGUAAUUGUCAGCCUUGGCUUUUGUUAUCGCUAUGAGUCAGAAUCGCCGGUGACGAAUAUUUCUAUAUGAAGAAUCUGAUUCUUCACCGAAUGAGAGGGCACAGAUUUCAAGAUUUCGCGAUCCCACCAUUGUCUUCCUCAUUGCGAUCGAUCAUGCGAUCUCAAUCAUGUAAUCUGCUCUAGGAACACGGAGGAAGCGUUUAAAAAAAAAAUAUCACAAUUCCGUCAAUGGAAAACGAGACAAAAUUGCGAUAGUCACGCUAGCGAGAUCACGGAUAGGAUGCAGUCUGCACGUUUCAAGGACGAGAGCGUGUUCGCGCGCGCAAAAAAGAUUGAGUAAUCCACCAGCUUCGCCGGGAAAUUCGCGGAACUCGCUUGCCGGCUUCGUUCCGCGAAAAGAUCGCUAUGUAUAAAUAUCGCAAACAGCGGCGUAUUUCCGACGCUCGCUCGAUCACUCGAGCACGCGUUUUCAACGCGUGCUGCAGGUGCGACACCAUUUGACCCAGAGAUCAUCGUAUCGAGCAUGAUUCGAGGGAUCAACACAAAUAAAAACAAAGAAAUGAAUCGAAGGAAGAUGCGAGCCGCGUAUUCGAGACGAAACGGAAAACAUGGGUCUGUUUUUUUUAUAGCUGAUUUAAGAUACCUUGUUGUACUUAAGAGGAAAUAGAUAUACAUAUGUUCCAUGUUUGAUGAAAGUAA